rnacentral:rRNA from 1 species
UACGUAGGGUGCGAGCGUUAAUCGGAAUUACUGGGCGUAAAGCGUGCGCAGGCGGUUCGCUGUGUCCGAUGUGAAAGCCCCGGGCUUAACCUGGGAAUGGCAUUGGAAACUGGCGGGCUUGAGGACUGGAGAGGAGACUGGAAUUCAUGGUGUAGCAGUGAAAUGCGUAGAGAUCAUGAGGAAGACCAGUGGCGAAGGCGGGUCUCUGGACAGUUCCUGACACUGAGGCACGAAGGCCAGGGGAGCAAACGGG